GCAUACUUACUCACAGCAAUUAAUGAAUCCAAUCCAGGUUUAUUCAAAUGGUAUUAGAUCACAAUAAUCAAUAUGUCCAGACAAUGCUAAUUAUUUUGAUCUAUAUCAACCUACAUCCCAAAAUUCAUAUUUAAAACUUAUUUCAUACUUAAACUAAACCGCUGCACUUGAUGGAUAUCACAAAACAGUCCAACUAAACCAAACAGAUUUUUGCUUCGAGUUAUACUUAAACAAGAUCUGUUUAACAGCUAUACUACAUGAACUUUCCCAGUGCUUGGUUGUUUUUUGAUACAUCAACAUACACAUAAUAAUUCAUAUCAUCAAGUCAACACAGUUGUAAUUCACAGUUUAUCAGCCUAAAUCUUAAUUACAAAAUUAUUUAGCGAAAUGAGAGCCAAUACAUCUCAGCCUAUAGAAGCAGGAUCACCAAACAAUCAUUCCAUUCCAUGUUCUGAGCUCAAACUUACAGCAGAAGUACGAAUAUGUACCUUGAUAAACUAUAAACAUGGGUGAAAAUGAAGAUCAGCAACUACAGGUGCAACAACAGUUUCAAACAAUCAACAUACCAUAGCAAUAAGAACUCAGCAGCCUCUGGAUGUGAAAAUUGGUGCAGGAAGUUUUUGAAAACACAGUAGAUAACCAAGAUGCACCCAAAGAACUAGAAACAAGCGGAAAAUGCUCCAAAUUAAUAUGCAAACAAAUUCCAAACCAAGCCACAAGCAGAAAGGUAAAGAUAAAACCUUACAAUUGCUUGAAAAACCAAUGAAACUGUAAUUUUUUGUUGUUUUCUUCUUGGUAUAUACCUUUUUUGUAUUUUUUUUUAUUUUAAUGCUAGAACAUAACUGAAAUUGAAAAAUGGAAUUAACAUCUGAUUUGAUCUUAGUUAGUUUUUG
rnacentral:lncRNA from 1 species